rfam:Biomphalaria glabrata isolate BB02 unplaced genomic scaffold LGTN_random_Scaffold238, whole genome shotgun sequence.
GUACUGUUAACGCAGUACAUAUACCAAAACUGGAACGAUACAAAGAAGACCAGCAUGGCCCCUGCCCAAGGAUGACGCGCACAUUCCUGAAGCGUUACAUAUUUCC